rnacentral:sRNA from 1 species
ACGAGGUUGAAGAAGAAGAAGAAGAAGCAAA